GCCUCGGUAGCGCAGUAGGCAGCGCGUCAGUCUCAUAAUCUGAAGGUCAGUGAGUUCGAUCCUCACCCGGGGCA
rnacentral:tRNA from 1 species